UACAGAGGUCUCAAGCGUUGUUCGGAUUCAUUGGGCGUAAAGGGUGUGUAGGUGGCGCCGUAAGUCGGGUGUGAAAUUUCGAGGCUUAACCUCGAAACUGCAUUCGAUACUGCGGUGCUUGAGGACUGGAGAGGAGACUGGAAUUCAUGGUGUAGCAGUGAAAUGCGUAGAUAUCAUGAGGAAGACCAGUGGCGAAGGCGGGUCUCUGGACAGUUCCUGACACUGAGGCACGAAGGCCAGGGGAGCAAACGGG
rnacentral:rRNA from 1 species